rnacentral:rRNA from 1 species
GACGAACGCNGGCGGCGUGCUUAACACAUGCAAGUCGAACGAAGAGCGAUGGAAGCUUGCUUCUAUCAAUCUUAGUGGCGAACGGGUGAGUAACGCGUAAUCAACCUGCCCUUCAGAGGGGGACAACAGUUGGAAACGACUGCUAAUACCGCAUACGAUCUAAUCUCGGCAUCGAGGAUAGAUGAAAGGUGGCCUCUACAUGUAAGCUAUCACUGAAGGAGGGGAUUGCGUCUGAUUAGCUAGUUGGAGGGGUAACGGCCCACCAAGGCGAUGAUCAGUAGCCGGUCUGAGAGGAUGAACGGCCACAUUGGGACUGAGACACGGCCCAGACUCCUACGGGAGGCAGCAGUGGGGAAUCUUCCGCAAUGGACGAAAGUCUGACGGAGCAACGCCGCGUGAGUGAUGACGGCCUCCGGGUUGUAAAGCUCUGUUAAUCGGGACGAAAGGCCUUCUUGCGAAUAGUGAGAAGGAUGACG